AUUGAACGCUGGCGGCAGGCCUAACCCAUGCAAGUCGAACGAGAAGCGGACGGGUGAGUCAUGUCUGGGAAACUGCCCGAUGGAGGGGGAUAACUACUGGACACGGUAGCUAAUACCGCAUACUAUCGGAUGUGCCCAGAGGGGAUUAGCUAGUAGGUGGUGUAACGGCUCAACUAGGCGACGAUCCCUAGCUGGUCUGAGAGGAUGACCAGCCACAUGGGAACUGAGACACGGUCCAGACUCCUAAGGGAGUCAGCAGUGGUGAAUAUGGCACAAUGGGCGCAAGCCUGAGGCAGCCAUGCCGCGUGUACGAAGAAGGCCUUCGGUUUGUAAAGUACUUUCAGCGAGUAUGCGUUACUCGCAGAAGAAGCACCGGCUAACUCCGUGCCAGCAGCCGCGGUAAUAC
rnacentral:rRNA from 1 species